AGUGAACGCUGGCGGUAGGCCUAACACAUGCAAGUCGAACGGCAGCACAGUAAGAGCUUGCUCUUACGGGUGGCGAGUGGCGGACGGGUGAGGAAUACAUCGGAAUCUACUUUUUCGUGGGGGAUAACGUAGGGAAACUUACGCUAAUACCGCAUACGACCUACGGGUGAAAGCAGGGGAUCUUCGGACCUUUCGCGAUUGAAUGAGCCGAUGUCGGAUUAGCUAGUUGGCGGGGUAAAGGCCCACCAAGGCGACGAUCCGUAGCUGGUCUGAGAGGAUGAUCAGCCACACUGGAACUGAGACACGGUCCAGACUCCUACGGGAGGCAGCAGUGGGGAAUAUUGGACAAUGGGCGCAAGCCUGAUCCAGCCAUACCGCGUGGGUGAAGAGGGCCUUCGGGUUGUAAAGCCCUGUUGUUGGGAAAGAAAAGCAGCAGGUUAAUACCCCGCUGUUCUGACGGUACCCAAAGAAUAAGCACCGGCUAACUUCGUG
rnacentral:rRNA from 1 species